rnacentral:rRNA from 1 species
AUUGAACGCUGGCGGCAUGCCUUACACAUGCAAGUCGAACGGCAGCACGGGCUUCGGCCUGGUGGCGAGUGGCGAACGGGUGAGUAAUACAUCGGAACGUGCCCUGUUGUGGGGGAUAACUAUGCGAAAGAUUAGCUAAUACCGCAUACGACCUGAGGGUGAAAGCGGGGGACCGUAAGGCCUCGCGCGCUAGGAGCGGCCGAUGUCUGAUUAGCUAGUUGGUGGGGUAAGAGCCCACCAAGGCGACGAUCGGUAGCUGGUCUGAGAGGACGAUCAGCCACACUGGGACUGAGACACGGCCCAGACUCCUACGGGAGGCAGCAGUGGGGAAUUUUGGACAAUGGGGGCAACCCUGAUCCAGCAAUGCCGCGUGUGUGAAGAAGGCCUUCGGGUUGUAAAGCACUUUUGUCCGGAAAGAAAUCGCGCUGGUUAAUACCUGGCGUGGAUGACGGUACCGGAAGAAUAAGCACCGGCUAACUACGUGCCAGCCGCCGCCGUAAAAC